GCUAAGAAUAUUCCGCAAUGGACGAAAGUCUGACGGAGCGACGCCGCGUGGAUGAAGAAGGCCGAAAGGUUGUAAAGUUCUUUUGUUGGGGAAGAAUAACCAUGGGAGGGAAUGCCCGUGGGAUGACAUGAACCGACGAAUAAGCCCCGGCUAACUACGUGCCAGCAGCCGCGGUAACACGUAGGGGGCGAGCGUUGCUCGGAAUUACUGGGCGUAAAGGGCAUGUAGGCGGUCUUGUAAGCUUGGCGUGAAAGACAACGGCUCAACCGUGGGAUUGCGUUGAGAACUGCGAGGCUUGAGUGACGGAGAGGGAGCUAGAAUUCCUGGUGUAGGGGUGGAAUCUGUAGAGAUCAGGAAGAAUACCAAUGGCGAAGGCAAGCUCCUGGCCGAUGACUGACGCUGAGGUGCGAAAGUGUGGGGAUCAAACAGGAUUAGAAACCCUGGUAGUCC
rnacentral:rRNA from 1 species